ensembl:lncRNA LINC01779 long intergenic non-protein coding RNA 1779
AGAAGAGGAAUCACUUCCUGCUCUUUCCUGUGGGUUCUCCCUCUGGUUGCUUUGCCUCAGCUCCAGGGACUGCCUCAGACACAGACAGAGCCUGCAAAAGAGGCAGGAGAGUAAGCAGCGGUUUGGAACAGACAGGAACAGAACAAACUGUGGGCACCAUGGGACUUGGCAUCCAGAGGUGGGGACACUGUGGAGACAAGGAGCACUGUGGAUCUGCCCAGCCACCCAGCUGUGUGAGAUGAGCCCUUGUGGAAGCUCCAGGCCAUGCAAAGGGGACAAAGAAUCCUUUCCCCUUGGGACGUUUCCAGAGCUUCUUGGAUAAUCCCAUGGUUUGGGUGUCUGAAAUCCCUAUGGGAAGCCCAGCACUUCCAGAGUGACUGCUGGGAUUCUCAGAGCUUCCCAGAACCAGCUUUGAUUUGUGCGGCUAAGCUAUGGGUGACCAGCUGCAGAACACCCCUGGUUCCGGGCCAGCUCUCUGGGCAUGGCCAGCAAUGGUCCAUGGGGACCUCUCCAGGAACACUCAGUCCAAACGUGCUGGAGUCUGUUACUGUGCAUCUCUGGGCAUGAGCCUGUGUGUGGGUGUAAACGGACAAAUGAGCGUCUCCCCACGGCGAACCUCACUGUGUUGUCAUGUUGUGUCUUCACUUUUGUCCACUAGCAUGUGUGUGUGGGAGGGGACUCACGUCUAGAUAUGGGUAUAUAAUAAUAUGAGCAUACGACAUGUCAAAGCUCAUGUGAAAGAGGGUAGGUUGGGGUAUGUAGCUGUGUAGCCAUGUGUGUGCAUAUGGAUACACCCUCCUAGUGGUUCUCCACCCCGUUGUGGCUUACAGCUGCCUUAGAAAUUUCCCCUUUUGCUGCCUCAGGAUCCCUGGCAUGUUCCAAUGUAACCUGGGCCCUGCCUUGCAGAGACCGGCAGUUUGGUGCUCUGUUGGCCUGCCUUUGUUCCUGCAGGGUGCAGCUCCUGUCUGCUUUCCCUCGCCUCCCAUUGGUUUCUGUUCACCUCUCUUGCACCACCCCAAGCCUUGCUGACGUGCCCCUGGCCACAUUUGUAGGGAGCUAGCAACUAUUCGGUUUGGAGGCAGUUUUUGAGCCAAUGAAAGGUCAGUGCCCAGAAGUCCCUGGAGCUAUGGCAGGCUUGGAUCCACGAGUUUCUGCAACCCACAUCACCAUCUCCUUCUGACCCAAGCCUCUCCCUCCAGCCUAGGCAGGCACAGCUGGUGGUUGAGGGCCCUCCCUGUCUAGUCAUUCUGCCUUAGAUUGGUUCCCAGUUGAAAGCAGCAACACUCUCUGGCAUGCUGAGAGCCUCUCCUCUAGGUUUCUGGGGAUUUCACUCAUAGGUUCCACAUUACCCUGCAAAGCUGGGAGAACUAGGGACUACGGUGGCCAUUAAAACUUGUGAAUGUUUGGGGUUUAAUGGAGAAUAUUCUAAGCUGCUGGUGGGCUCUUAGGAGAGGAAUGGCACAUUCAAAGAGGCAGAUCUGGGAGAUGUUUCUGCAGCCUGGCAGGGAGAAGCAGCUCUUGGCACCAGCUCUAAGAGGCCUGGUGCAAUGCCACUCCCUCUGCAGCAGCACUCCUCCUGAGGCCUCGGGCUCCCCAUCCUCAGCAACCCCUGCUCAGGUCUCCCCAGUGUGUGACUGGCCCUUAAUGCUGCUCUUUGGCCAGAAGGGCUGAGGCAGAGUGCCUCCAGGUGGGGACUUUCUUAUGAUGAGGAAAAUGAUCAGAAAGUUCUAUGACCUUGGACAAAUUACUUAAGCUUUCCGUGCCUCGGUUUUUCAAACUGCAAAAUGGGAAUAGUAACCGUAUGUACCUCACAGGGUUGUGGUGAGAACUGAGUUACUCUGUGUAAAGCACUUGGAACAAUAUCUGGCUUGUAAGCACUCAAUAACUGUUUGCUACGAUUAGACUAUCCCACUGGUCAAGCUAGCCUUUUACCUGGGUCUGCUGGAUGGGGGAAGAAGGGAGGGACAAUGCCCUUCCAUCCCAGGAAAGGAUUCCCACUGACCUAGCAUUACAGAGUACAUGCAGGCUGCCUGGUGGACGCAGCCCUGAGCUGCCUUCCUGUCAAGGCAGGUGAGCACAUCCUGCCUCUCCCUGCUUUAAUAUCUCUGAAGUCUUUUCUUAAAGGUCAGCAGAGCAGAGAGACCCCUCUAGAAUUGGUCUCUUGUGAUAAGGCCAGAAGACCUAGACUCUAAAAAUAAACCUUAAUAAGAUUUUAAGUAAACACUUUCUCUACAACAAUUCA